rnacentral:tRNA from 1 species
GGUAGUAUGGCCGAGAGCUAGGCAAUGAGCUGUAGACUCAUAGAGGGGCCAAAGAGGAGGUCCUGCUACCA